UACGGAGGAUGCAAGCGUUAUCCGGAAUGAUUGGGCGUAAAGCGUCCGCAGGUGGCUGUGUAAGUCUGCUGUUAAAGAGUCAUGCUCAACAUGAUAAGAGCAGUGGAAACUACACGGCUAGAGUGCGUUCGGGGCAGAGGGAAUUCCUGGUGUAGCGGUGAAAUGCGCAGAUAUCAGGAGGAACACCGAUGGCGAAGGCAGGUCUCUGGGCAUUAACUGACGCUGAGGAGCGAAAGCGUGGGGAGCGAACAGG
rnacentral:rRNA from 1 species